GAUGAACGCUAGCGGCAGGCCUAAUACAUGCAAGCUGAACGGCAAGAUUUGUAGCAAUACGAGUCCUAGAGUAGCGUAAGGGUGCGUAACACGUAUGCAAUCUGCCCGCAACAGGAGGAUAGCUUAGCGAAAGUUGAGAUAAGACUCCAUAAGAUCACGAGAGGGCAUCUGAUUGUGAUUAAACUACAAGGGGUUGCGGAUGAGCAUGCGUCUGAUUAGUUAGUUGGCGGGGUAACGGCCCACCAAGACGAUGAUCAGUAGGGGAACUGAGAGGUUGGUCCCCCACACUGGCACUGAGAUACGGGCCAGACUCCUACGGGAGGCAGCAGUAGGGAAUAUUGGACAAUGGGUGCAAGCCUGAUCCAGCCAUGCCGCGUGCAGGAAGAAA
rnacentral:rRNA from 1 species